UUUGAAGUAGAAGCGAUAAACCUACCGAGCUUAGAGAUAGCUGGUUAUUCAAGAAAAGGAUCUUAGUCCAUCUUUAAGUUUUUCAAGUACCUCAAAACACUAUAUAAGCUUAAAAGCCACUCAAACAAGGUACAGCCUGUUUGAAAAAGGAUACAGCCUCCAACACAGGGUAAUGAUUUAUACCACAUGUGACCAAGUUGGCCUAAAAGCAGCCACCUUAUAAAAAGCGUCCAAGCUUUAUCACAAACCCUCACUAAUCCCAAGAUUAACCCUCAACCCCCAACCACUACUGAAUCUCCCUAUACGCAUAUAGGCAAUAUUAUGCUAGAACUAGUAAAAAGAAGAAGACCUUCUCCGAAAUGUAAACGUAAGCCAAAAUGAACCCUCACCGGCAAUUACCGCCAUAAACCUGCAGUAUUAACAUCACAUGAGAACCAUACUCCAAUUGGCGUCAACCUUACACCAGAGCAUUCCCGGAAAGA
rnacentral:rRNA from 1 species